GUGGGGAAUCUUGCGCAAUGGGCGAAAGCCUGACGCAGCCAUGCCACGUGAAUGAUGAAGGUCUUAGGAUUGUAAAAUUCUUUCACCGGGGACGAUAAUGACGGUACCCGGAGAAGAAGCUCCGGCUAACUUCGUGCCAGCAGCCGCGGUAAUACGAAGGGGGCUAGCGUUGCUCGGAAUUACUGGGCGUAAAGGGCGCGUAGGCGGACAGCUUAGUCAGAGGUGAAAGCCCAGGGCUCAACCUUGGAAUUGCCUUUGAUACUGGCUGUCUUGAGUUUGGGAGAGGUGAGUGGAACUCCGAGUGUAGAGGUGAAAUUCGUAGAUAUUCGGAAGAACACCAGUGGCGAAGGCGACUUUCUGGACUGUACCUGACGCUGAGGCGCGAAAGCGUGGGGAGCGAACAGGAUUAGAAACCCUAGUAGUCC
rnacentral:rRNA from 1 species